UCAUCUAUUUGUUGAGACACAAAUUUUUAACAUGAGAUUAAUUUUAUUUUACAAUUUUAUCCCUUAAUAUUUCAAGAAUUCCAACCAUGUUCUUUUCAUCUUUCACCUAAUUUCUCCGCCAGCCUUUCUUCAUUCUCUCCUCUCUUGCAGGUAGCUUUCUUUGCCUUUUACCACCACCGGCUUCGGGCAUCGAUGGCACCACCCUCCAACACCUCUCUAGUUUGUCUUCUCGAAGGGAGAAUCUCCUCUGUCUCGCCGUCCCUAAUGUGCCUCUGUUAUUGGGGAACAACCAUUGGUCCGGUGCAAGGAACCACCACAGAUCUAUAGUGACAAAGAAGAGGACUCGAUGCCACUAGAGGUAGAUCUGUACUGCAUGCAUUUGCUUCGUCUUCUUUCCACAAUGCAUUUGCCUCUCCUCCCCUUUGUGCCUCUUUGAUGUCUCGUCCUUCCCUCAACAUGUAGUCUCAUGUCUCAUCCUUGUGCUCUAAUGUGGUCUUCGUUGCCUUCCUCUGCUUUGUGAUUUACUUUACAUCUGUUUGAAAUUUUUUAGUUUUAUUAAAAAAUUUGAAUCUGUAUUUGUUUCAUUUGAGAUGAGAUUGAUAAUUUUUUGUUCAUUUUAUGCAUAUUGAAUUUAAUUUGAUUUGAAGAUGGUGGUAGUUUUUGAUAACUCAGAGAAAAGUGAGAAAGGUAGAAAUGGCGGUGGUGGUGCUAAAAUAGUGAGAUGUAGAUCUACUUUCUACGAUUCUCACUGUGGACCGUGUUUCGGACCUGAGCUCAGUUCUAUCUACUAUGUUCCUGUUUUAAUAACUCAUUUGUGGUAUUUUUUUUCCUUUUUUUGUGGUGGUGUUUCUUGAUUUUUCUUACAGAUCUAUUCAGAUCUAAGAGGAAAAUAUCCUGAGAAGAUGUUGCUGUUUAUAGAAAAAUUUUUAGAUCUAGAAAUUAUCUAGACCUAUAUAGAAAAAAAGAAGAUAUCUUUUAAUGUUUUGCAGCACGAAUGUGUAGUGUAGAUAUAGAAAUAAAAGAGACUCAAUUUUGUCUUUGAUUCUACCUUUUAAGAUUUCUAAUAAUUGAAUAUUGUACUCUAUCAGAUUAUAAUUUAAUAACAGAAGAUAUUUAUCUUCUUUGUAUCCA